GCCGAAGUGGCGAAACUGGCAGACGCACUAGAUUCAGGGUCUAGCGCCCUAACGGGUGUGCGGGUUCAAAUCCCGCCUUCGGCACCA
rnacentral:tRNA from 1 species